rnacentral:rRNA from 1 species
UACAGAGGUCCCAAGCGUUGUUCGGAUUCAUUGGGCGUAAAGGGUGUGUAGGUGGCGCCGUAAGUCGGGUGUGAAAUUUCGGAGCUUAACUCCGAAACUGCAUUCGAUACUGCGGUGCUUGAGGACUGGAGAGGAGACUGGAAUUCAUGGUGUAGCAGUGAAAUGCGUAGAGAUCAUGAGGAAGACCAGUGGCGAAGGCGGGUCUCUGGACAGUUCCUGACACUGAGGCACGAAGGCCAGGGGAGCAAGCGGG